GUGGGGAAUCUUGCGCAAUGGGCGAAAGCCUGACGCAGCCAUGCCGCGUGAAUGAUGAAGGUCUUAGGAUUGUAAAAUUCUUUCACCGGGGACGAUAAUGACGGUACCCGGAGAAGAAGCUCCGGCUAACUUCGUGCCAGCAGCCGCGGUAAUACGAAGGGGGCUAGCGUUGCUCGGAAUUACUGGGCGUAAAGGGCGCGUAGGCGGACAGCUUAGUCAGAGGUGAAAGCCCAGGGCUCAACCUUGGAAUUGCCUUUGAUACUGGCUGUCUUGAGUUUGGGAGAGGUGAGUGGAACUCCUAGUGUAGAGGUGAAAUUCGUAGAUAUUCGGAAGAACACCAGUGGCGAAGGCGACUCACUGGCCCAAUACUGACGCUGAGGCGCGAAAGCGUGGGGAUCAAACAGGAUUAGAUACCCCUGUAGUCC
rnacentral:rRNA from 1 species